rnacentral:rRNA from 1 species
CCUACGGGAGGCAGCAGUGGGGAAUAUUGCACAAUGGGCGAAAGCCUGAUGCAGCAACGCCGCGUGAGCGAUGAAGGCCUUCGGGUCGUAAAGCUCUGUCCUCAAGGAAGAUAAUGACGGCACUUGAGGAGGAAGCCCCGGCUAACUACGUUCCAGCAGCCGCGGUACUACGUAGGGAGCUAGCGUUAUCCGGAAUUACUGGGCGUAAAGGGGGCGUAGGUGGUUUCUUAAGUCAGAGGUGAAAGGCUACGGCCCAACCGUAGUAAGCCUUUGAAACUGGGGAACGUGAGUGCAGGAGAGGAGAGUGGAAUUCCUAGUGUAGCGGUGAAAUGCGUAGAUAUUAGGAGGAACACCAGUUGCGAAGGCGGCUCUCUGGACUGUGACUGACGCUGAGGCACGAAAGCGUGGGGAGCAAACAGGAUUAGAUACCCGAGUAGUC